rnacentral:rRNA from 1 species
AGUUGAACCUUGGGCCUGGCUGGCCGGUCCGCCUCACCGCGUGCACUGGUUCGGCCGGGCUUUUCCCUCUGGGGAGCCCUAUGCCCUUCACUGGGUGUAGUGGGGAACCAGGACUUUUACUGUGAAAAAAUUAGAGUGUUCAAAGCAGGCCUAUGCUCGAAUACAUCAGCAUGGAAUAAUAGAAUAGGACGUGUGGUUCUAUUUUGUUGGUUUCUAGGACCGCCGUAAUGAUUAAUAGGGACAGUCGGGGGCAUCAGUAUUCAAUUGUCAGAGGUGAAAUUCUUGGAUUUAUUGAAGACUAACUACUGCGAAAGCAUUUGCCAAGGAUGUUUUCAUUAAUCAGGAACGAAAGUUAGGGGAUCGAAGACGAUCAGAUACCGUCGUAGUCUUAACCAUAAACUAUGCCGACUAGGGAUCGGACGAUGUUAUUUUUUGACUCGUUCGGCACCUUACGAGAAAUCAAAGUUUUUGGGUUCUGGGGGGAGUAUGGUCGCAAGGCUGAAACUUAAAG